UACGGGGGGGGCACGCGUUGUUCGGAAUUCCUGGGCGUAAAGGGCUCGUAGGCGGCCAACUAAGUCGGACGUGAAAUCCCUCGGCUUAACCGGGGAACUGCAUCCGAUACUGGAUGGCUUGAGUUCGGGAGAGGGAUGCGGAAUUCCUGGUGUAGCGGUGAAAUGCGUAGAGAUCAGGAAGAACAUCGGUGGCGAAGGCGCUCUGCUGGACCAUAACUGACACUCAGGGACGAAAGCUAGGGGAGCGAAUGGG
rnacentral:rRNA from 1 species